rnacentral:rRNA from 1 species
GGGUUGUGAGGUUAAGCGACUAAGCGUACACGGUGGAUGCCCUGGCAGUCAGAGGCGAUGAAGGACGUGCUAAUCUGCGAUAAGCGUCGGUAAGGUGAUAUGAACCGUUAUAACCGGCGAUUUCCGAAUGGGGAAACCCAGUGUGUUUCGACACACUAUCAUUAACUGAAUCCAUAGGUUAAUGAGGCGAACCGGGGGAACUGAAACAUCUAAGUACCCCGAGGAAAAGAAAUCAACCGAGAUUCCCCCAGUAGCGGCGAGCGAACGGGGAGCAGCCCAGAGCCUGAAUCAGUGUGUGUGUUAGUGGAAGCGUCUGGAAAGGCGCGCGAUACAGGGUGACAGCCCCGUACACAAAAAUGCACAUGCUGUGAGCUCGAUGAGUAGGGCGGGACACGUGGUAUCCUGUCUGAAUAUGGGGGGACCAUCCUCCAAGGCUAAAUACUCCUGACUGACCGAUAGUGAACCAGUACCGUGAGGGAAAGGCGAAAAGAACCCCGGCGAGGGGAGUGAAAAAGAACCUGAAACCGUGUACGUACAAGCAGUGGGAGCACGCUUAGGCGUGUGACUGCGUACCUUUUGUAUAAUGGGUCAGCGACUUAUAUUCUGUAGCAAGGUUAACCGAAUAGGGGAGCCGAAGGGAAACCGAGUCUUAACUGGGCGUUAAGUUGCAGGGUAUAGACCCGAAACCCGGUGAUCUAGCCAUGGGCAGGUUGAAGGUUGG